CAAACCCUACACCCCACCCCACCCCAAUCCCUCCAGCCGCCGCUGCCCCACCCAUGUUUCUCCUCCACCCCCUCCUCCCUCCUCACCUCCCGGACCAGCCACCGUCGCGCCGCUGGGGUUCGUCCGCCGCGGGUUUCCACGGGGAAGGAGAAGCGACGGGGGUAGGCCCCAAGCGGCGCACACUUCAUGGGGAGGCAAGGAACUAGGAGGUGAUGGGGUCGGAUCUUGUGGUGCUAGGUCGGAGCUCGAUCCCUCGCCUCCCGAACCAGCCGUCGCCGCGCUGCUGGGCUUGGGUUUCCAUGGGGAAUCACUACACAGCAGCACGCCUCCCUCCUUCAUCAUCGUCAUCAGAGCCGCCGCACCUCUCCUUCCUCCUCACUCGCACCCCUGCUGCGGCGCGCAUCCCCCCCCUUUCGAUCUAAUUUCAUUCUUGUUUCACAUUUGGUUUGGUUGGCAAGAGACGUUGCCGUGCCGACUGCAGUAGCCAGGGUUGGCGUUGGUGAUGUCUGUAGGUAUUUUCGUCCUCGCCAGUCACACAUUUACUAGGUUAUGGGACUGGAUCUCCCUUUUCUAAGAUUCUUAGCUGAUAAGUAUAUUGUGCAGAAAAGUCUCUACAGAAUGAUGUUGUGCACAUCCAAAUCCAAGCAAUUUGGAUACUCCAUGGGGCAAAGUUGAAGCUUUGUACAUCACUUCUCUCCAUGUUUAUUAAUGUUUCUUCAUGUUUGGCAGUGAUAUGGGUUUCCAUGUACUUUAUAUAUGCAUUCCUUGUGUUCCAUCUAUGUAUAUAUGUUUCUGCCCAUAAAUGUAUUUAUGAGCUGACUCCAUUUUUUACUGCUUUUCUGUGGCAAUUUGAAAAGGACCCUUAAAUGGUGCUCAGCCACCAUCCGAUUUCGAGGGAGAAUAGGAGACCCCGACGAAAAUGAGCGUCCUAGCAGCGAACCCAAGGAUGCCGGUGAUUACGGCAGGUCCAUGCUCCUGUUCUUCUAUUGGGCUACGCCCCCAAUGGUGAAAAUCCCCUACAGAAUGGUGCUGGAUGUCCUUUUAGAAUCUUUGGGCCUGCCAGUGGCUGAGUAUCGAACCAAAGCAUGCGACCUCUUUGAAGUGCAGCACCAUCCUACCCCCUUUGGCCCUUCCCGUCCAGUUUUGCCUCACCAUAGGAGGAAGACGGGAGCUGCCUACCUGCCUGCUACCCCAAAAGGAUGCGCCACCCAGUCAGCCGAGUGAUGGUAGAUCCAAGUGGAAAUGGCUCUGGCUCACUGGUUUUGGUUCAGUUUGAAGGGCUCUCGGGGCAAAAGAUAAUUGAGUUGUUGAAUCUAAAUAUUAGUCAGUACAAACUUCUAUCUGUAAAGUUUAGAUACAAUUAUGUGUCUUGAAUUAUUUUUAUUUCCUGUUUCUUAUGCUAGGCCUAAGAUAGGUGUAUUUGCUGUUUAGGUUGGUUCUAAACUACAUGUUUCCUAAUUUUAUAGUUUUUUAGCUUUCAGAAAAACUAUAAAAUUAGGAAACAUGUAGUUCAGAAUAAAGAAUGAAAGGCUAAAUUCUUAUUUCAGGAUUACACUCAUGACUUUCAGACUGCUGAACAUAUUUGAUACAUCUUCCACCUCUCCGCUACUACCACCAAGCAUGGAAAGACUGCGGUUGCAGUAGCGACAAUGACUCGUUUCACUCUUUGUCUCAUGAUGAUUGGUUGGCUGCAGGGGCACCGCGAGGAGUGGAGGAUCGAGGUCGUGGGUUGCCAGCUUCAAAUUUUGGUUGAGCACUUCCUCAAUAAUCUUGUUGAGGUGUCUGUUUCCCCUCUUUGUAUCAUGAAUGAUUGUGUUGGCUGUAGGGUCUCCGCAAGGAGUUGAAGGCUGAGGUCAUGGUUGCCAGCUUCAAUUUUUUGCUGAGCAAUUCCUCAAGAGUCUUGCCAAGAUCUGAGGAUGAAGGGAAGAAGAAGAAUUUAACUAAAGAGUUCAAGAAGAUGAAGGUGAAUUUUCUUCCCUUUGUUCUUCUAUUCUGAUGUUAAGAUUUGUGAUGGCUAGAUGAGAUUUCUGGUGAAAAUUUCCCAUUCUUUUAUUUACCUACAGAUCUUGAAUGCACGAUUGAUGAUUUUGCUGGAUAGGUUACAAAUCUAAAUAAUAAACAUUUUUAAGUGAUGUGGUUGGUACACAUGCGAAGCUAAGAAAAUAUAUAGUUUACUCACAGUGUUGUUUGAUCCAUUGUUGUGUGACACGCUCGCUGAUGGUCUGGCAAUGCUGCAUAUACAUCUGAAUGCCAAUGAUAGUAUGGUUUAGAUAGACAAGUUAAUAAUUUCUUUUUCUUCAUCAAGUUUAUGCUUCCAUUGAUCUACAUUUAAUUUAAUUCACAAACCAGACACCCUUUGGAGUAGCCAAUGUGUAUCUCUGAAUCUUGGCACUUGGGUGUUAUAUGUAUUUCAUUGGUUCAUCGCUCACUGUAGCAAUGCACGGGCCAAAGACAAUCGGCAAUAAAAACAAUCUGCUUGCAAGUUCUAUAUUACCAGCGGAGGCUUUGCCAAGAGGAAGGGUAAUUCGUGCAGGGAAUAAACCUUACAUGGUAAUCAAGGGGAACAUGCUUUAUAAGUUGAGCUUUUUGUAAGCUAAGCUAUGUUUUUCAACCCGUUGUUCUUUAGAUAUCUUCCUUUUACAUUUUUUAUAUGCGAUGGUUAGUUGAUCAGGCUGAGUGCUUCUUUGCAGUGCUUGCUUUAUUGGAACAUGUUCAUUUGGCUAAUAAAACAGUACACAUCUCUCUUGAAUUAUGUGCAUCUCCUUUUUAGUUAUUUGAUUUUUUAGUGACUCGCUAAUUGGAAAAUCAGGAUGCUAAAACUUGGCAUAAUGAAUUCUUGAAUUACGUACUUCUUAUUGUGCAUGUCAAACUGAGGACUAAAUAUAUUUUUAGUUGAGCUAUUGUUUUGAGUAUUUCCCUGCAACAACUUAAAUUACUUUUUGCAAAUAAAAUGAGCUAGCAUAUGCUAUACUUGCAAUGGUAAAUUAAUUAUGCAGUUAUGAGGAUUGAGGAAAUUAAUGGUCAGUCAAUCAUUGAGGGUUUGAAAGAGCCAUCAAGGCAACGAUCUCAUUUCAUCUCAUGCACUGAUUUUGUUAUCUUCUUUAUAUGGCAUUUUAUUAAUUAUUUAUAUAUAUUUGCCGUAUUGCUGUUUCUAAAAAUUGCUGUAUCCUUUGUCCCCAUUUCCGUAUCGCCGUAUCUGUGUUGCCGGUGCACCAUAGCAAUUAAUUAUUGAAGAAAAAUGCCCCUUUUCUUGUCCCAUUGCUCGAUAAGCAUGAUCGCAUUUCCACCGAUUGAUUAUAAAUAUGGCCUUUCUUUUGAUUAUUUGGUGGUACUUCUGAUUGGCACUAUGAGGUGCUUCUUCGUCGUGUAGAUUCAUCCUUUACUUAAAUAUUGAUGAUGAUAUGGUUGUAAAUUAGUCUGGUAUAUGCCAAUAGUUGUCUCUCCCAGAAGAAUUUUUGUGAGAAUAGCGUACCUAAAGAGUUGGUUGUUUGUCUGGAUUGAACACCCAGCUAUAAGAAUGGGUUGACAACACCGAUUGACUCUAUUGGCGCUUCUAUGUUGUCCGGCUUCAUCAUUUACUUAUACACUGAUGAUAUUGUUGUCAGCGUGUUGUAAGUACUUUGGGAAACAAGUCUGGUAUAUUACAAUGAUGUAGUCCUGCAGAUCAGUACAGGUCACUGGCUUUAUAUUGUGGUCAGUGUGUUGUAAGUACUUUGGGAAACAAGUUCUGGGGUAAAUUUAUCUGCUUGCUCAUGCAUUUUAAUACUUGAUUGAUGUCUUGAUAAUUUGUGAAGUUCUGUGUACCAUGUGAUAAGCUGCACAUCAGGUUGCAUGGCAGCUUGUUUGUUUCUUUUAGGAUGUGCAUGUACCCAGGUGGAUCAAAUAUAGAUACCAAUCAUAUAUUAUUAUUUUUACUCAUGUGUUUUUCUUGUGCCUCCCAAACAUUUCGAGGGAUUAUAUAUAUCAUUCAGAUGUAUUCAGGCUGGGUUUCUAUGAUCCAAAAAAAUCAUCUGCCAUGGCUUUCUUUUUACAUACAAAACUAAGUGUGGAGCAGUGUAUAACUAUAUAUGUUCAUUGUUUUCUUAUCACAUCGCAUUUGUCGGAGGUGUUGUACUGAUUUGAAGGAAAUGCUUUUAUAUUUCCAAGUUGAUCAACUACACAACUUCUGAUCCUAAAGCCUUUCUUUAAAAGGGGCUGGUCAAUGCAGCUCCAUGUUGUGCUAUCUUGCUAUUGGGCUCUUUUUUCGUUACUUAAAAUGGUCAGAUAUCUCUGAUGUUAAAUUCGUGGUUGAUUGCUUAUAUCCAAAAGAACUAUGUUAGUACACUGAAGCCAAUUUCUACAUUGUUAGUGAAGUUGGCUAAAUAGUUUUUGCGCCACUAAGAUAUAUAUGUGCACUGCAUUCUAACCAUGUAAAUUGUUGUGCUAUUAGUUUAAUCCGGAAUAUAAUUAUGUUAGUACACUCUGCAAUAUAAUUAUGUUAUAUUCUGCUUUUGUCAGUUUGCUGGUCCAUACUAAUUUCCUCGAGCUUAUUUUCACAUCUCGUCAUAUUUACACCUCUCCGCCGACUGCCACCUAUCAUGGAGGGAGAUGGCUUGGCCAGGCCGUCAACACUCAUCGGCAACUUCGGGCAGGCACCGCCCCGUUCUUCCUCCCCUUACUCUGAUGCCUUCAUGGCCAAAAUCAUUAGUAGAAGCAAGAAGGUUAAGCACCGAUUAUGGUUAAAGCUUUGUCUCUUUUAUGUACUAUGCAUGAUUGAUCUGAUUUUGCUGGUUAGCUUACAAAUUCAAGUAAUACGACUAUUGCAAUGCAUAUUACUACGUGUGUAUUUAUUUCCA